rnacentral:rRNA from 1 species
AAAUUGAAGAGUUUGAUCAUGGCUCAGAUUGAACGCUGGCGGCAGGCCUAACACAUGCAAGUCGAACGGUAACAGGAAGCAGCUUGCUGCUUUGCUGACGAGUGGCGGACGGGUGAGUAAUGUCUGGGAAACUGCCUGAUGGAGGGGGAUAACUACUGGAAACGGUGGCUAAUACCGCAUAACGUCGCAAGACCAAAGAGGGGGACCUUCGGGCCUCUUGCCAUCAGAUGUGCCCAGAUGGGAUUAGCUAGUUGGUGAGGUAACGGCUCACCAAGGCGACGAUCCCUAGCUGGUCUGAGAGGAUGACCAGCCACACUGGAACUGAGACACGGUCCAGACUCCUACGGGAGGCAGCAGUGGGGAAUAUUGCACAAUGGGCGCAAGCCUGAUGCAGCCAUGCCGCGUGUAUGAAGAAGGCCUUCGGGUUGUAAAGUACUUUCAGCGGGGAGGAAGGUGUUGUGGUUAAUAACCGCAGCAAUUGACGUUACCCGCAGAAGAAGCACCGGCUAACUCCGUGCCAGCAGCC